rnacentral:piRNA from 1 species
UCCAAGGUUGGGUCCUCAUUCUUACUUCAGU